rnacentral:lncRNA from 1 species
GGUUCUUGUGUGGAUGUAUCUAUUUCUCUUGGAUAUAUACCUAGGAGUGGAAUUUCUGGGUCAUAUGGUAACCCGAACUGUGAAACUGUUUUCCAAAGUGUCUGCACCAUUUUACAUUCCGACCAGUAAUGUGUAAGGGUUCCAGUUCUCCACAUCGUCAUCAACACUUGCUGGAGUCUCUCUUUUUUAUUACAGCUGUCUUAGUAGGUGUCAAGUGGCUUUGAUUUGCAUUUCCCUUACUGCUGGUGAUGUUGAGCAUCUUUGUAGCCUCCGCCUCCCGGGUUCAAGCAAUUCUCCUGCCUAGCUGGGGCUACAGGUGCACCCUGGGCCUGGGGGAGCUGAAGCGCUUGUGAGUGGCACGCCCUCCCCUGACCCCACCCCUCCCCUCCCGAGGGAGAAAGUCACACCUCCUGCUCCAUGCCCACCCCCUUCCUCUCACCCACCCACACCUGCCCCUCCUUUCCGCUUGGGUGCCU